rnacentral:lncRNA from 1 species
AAAUAUGUGACAAAAAGAAAAAUAUAAAAGUUCAAGGUUGAAUACAUUGAUAUGAUUAGUUGUGGUAGUGUUAAUCAUUUCCUGCAUAUUUAAGAUAAGAGCAGACUAAACAAUAGGUACUGCAAAGGGAGUAUACCAGGAUGGAGAGCAUGAAUCUUUGGACUGCCACUGGAAAACUGAGAGGAAAUGUUGACCGGAUACGGGCACGACUUUGACCUAGCAAUAGAUCACUUACAGAACAAAAUGAAGCAUGCAGCUGAUUAGGCUUAAUUCUUUUGAUGUCAGUCCCCUAAAUAAAAC